CAGUGUCCUGGAUUGGUCGGUCCUAUGGGUUUUACGUUUGACGUAAAUGCCGCUUUUUCUUCUGCCGCCCCUAUUCACUAGUCGGUUUGGUUAUGGUGGCUCGGCCAUGUCGGUUACGUCGCUAACGCGUGCCAUCAUUUGCCCCUUCACCCGAGACCUGUCCUGUCCCCAAAGCAGCAUCAGCAUUCAUGUAAUAGGCAGGCAGGGUCAGUGUCACACAGACGGUAGCACCAGCACCAACGAUGUCGUUUCCACCGCCGACUACCACGAAUUCACAGCCACUACCACAAGCCAAGCAAACGCACAAGUCUUUUUCCUCACAGGGCGCAUGCGCGACUCCUCCCCUUACCAGGCCGGUCCUUUGGCGCGGCAGUUGCCGCCGCUGCAACUUAAGAACAGCAAUAAAAGCAGAAGCGGUAGGUUAGUACGUCAGUAUCCCUCAGGAACAAGCACAGGUCGAAAAACAUUUCUACAAAAAAAAAAAAAAAAAAGCUGAAUCCAAAGUUUAACGCCAGAAGAACAGGCAAGGGCAGUUUGCACGGAGUUCGCCGUCAAGAGAAAGCAGCUAAAAGUACUAGUCCAGUCAAACUUCUCAAUUCCAAACUGUCGCCCUUUCAGUUUAAUCGAGGACUUGAGACGAAGAACGAAGACCUGACAAGAGCGAACAGAUAAGCUCUACGAGCUGUUGUAGGAAAGGAAAAGGACACAGAAAGCAGAGUGAACAAGAGACAAUCGCUCGUCAACCCAAAUAACAUUACGCAAGUAGUAGUUGAAACCUUUCUGUAGACGAAUAACAGGAAGAAAUAGCUGGAAGUAGUCAACAGUCAAUAUGAGUGCCUUAGCAAAGCUGCUUGCCCUUUUCCUUGCCCUUCUGUUAGUAGUAGCGGCUCACGCUGACGGAAUCAAGCGCAUGGACUGCGAUGCCUUUUGCAAGAAGACAGGCUUCCGUUUCAAUGCCGGCGUCUGCAAGUGCGGCUAUAUGCUCUUUGCUAACAAGCGAUCAGUGGCUGAUCGCGAUCCCCGGGCAGAAGUGGCGCCCGAUUCUCAGUAAGUAUGUCCUUACGUAUAUUUACUCGUAUUGGCCAUAGCACAUCAUUUAGCUACACUAAAAUAUCUGAGACGUUAUCUACACCGAAUCUGUUCAAUUCAAGUACGCCAACGUAUGGUCGCUCGUAAGUUAAUUUGAUGAAACGCUGUUGCUGAAAAUCAAGCCUUGUUUUCAGUAGUCACUAUGUUUUAAAAUGAAACUGUAUUAUACGCCAUCGUUGAAUUCGCCCAAACUGAUGCCUUAAGCCGGUUCAUCUGGCCGUGUUCCGGGAUGAGUACCAGCGUUUACCUGUUGAGCUGAACUGGGAAGGACUUGUCUACCCUGCCCUGCCAUUGCCACGUCUAUAUGGUUAAAAAAUGAUCUUCAUCAUCCCCAUCGAAUUUGCGUCCUUCUGGUAAAAUCGUUACCCCCGAAAAUCUCGCCUUAGACGGGUCAUCACGAAUGCCUAGCAACCCUUUUACCACUCCUCGUAACGAGUGCACAAGAAAUGCCAAUUGGCAAGAGACGCAAAACACAAGGCUGAAGAUGCCGACGAGAUGACGUGCAGCCGUGGUGGUUACAUGGAGAACUAGAAUGAAGAACGUUCCGCGCGCGACACGGGAGUGUUGUUCGCGAUCAGGUCGAAAAAAUAACAGGAAUUAGAAGAACAAAGGAUACUAAAUUAGCAGAAUAACAGAAAAACCCCAACGCAAUACGGGAGUACGUCGGGGAAACACAUCUGCGAGAACUCGACGAUUAUACGAGAUAUGCCGUUGAAUCGAGUCAUGGCCUUGUAGCGUUUUCGCCGCGUAUACGUUUGUCCUGAGUUUCAUUUAGACACCCUUCCUCCCUCUUUGUCCACACACACGUACACACAGCUUGUUGAGUUUUUGUUGAGAAGCGCUGACGAUAAACAAUCGCCUGCCGGUGCUUUGUUAUUAUGCAGUACGCGCAAAGAGGAAGAUAACCACUGUGUAGCUCCCAACAAAAACGACCAUAGCUACUGUUCUAUUCCUAUAAGACUGAAUAGUGUGCGAAAUUCAUGGCUGUGACACGCUGUAUCGUUCAUACGUUCGUUUUGAAAUUAAAUUAAGAUACGCGAACAACAUCCACGAUUUAACUGACCACGAUUUUGCUGACGAGUGCCACAAAGUUUCAGUCCAAAAGAGAAAGGGUAUCGUGUCGACAUCAUCAGCCUACUUUCGAACAAUAUAAUUUCGAAAAGAAAAGCACGCGAUUGACAUGCGUCUGAUGAGUAGCGCUUGCAGCGCUUUCUUCCUACUACCACUGCGAUGCCUAAAUAUAUACACAAUAUGUUAUUAUCUACAAACCGCAUGAAGCGAGACACGAGGCUGGUAACAAGGAACUCACAAGGCUUAAGCGUAGUGCAUGAAGGCGCCCUGCCCGUCACAAAGGGGCCGUGACAUGAAGUGUAAUUAAGAAGAGGCAGUCCAAAGCAAGAAAUUGGUAAACGACCCCGAGGACGACCAUCCUUAGGUCAGAUGAAUUCCAAAGCAGCCUGAAUCGACUAUGGGAAGUACUCACCAGGACUCAAGCACAAAUACAUAUAGAUGAGAAAAUGAACAAGGACGGAUCCCCAUGUUGGAAAAACAAGAUGAUUUAAUACAUUAGAUAUACAAAUACAAUGAGGAGCCAAACUGUGAACAAAGCUGUCUAUAACGCUUGAAGGUGUCCGGCUUGAAGAUGAGAGACCAGGCCAGGUUUCGUUAAGGCACAUCUGUACAUCGCGAAAAAAUUCUAGCUAGCUACAGCUACAGAAGAAAUUUAUGAAACAAGGACGAGACAAAGUGCGAAAAAGAUAUAUAAUUUCUGAUGACUUAUAUAUACACACAUAUAUAUAUAUAUAUAUAUAUAUAUAUCUCGAAGAGACGAGAGACAUGACCAAUAAUAAGGAUAAUUACAGACACGACAGACUGAAUCUCAAAGGAAAAAUAAAUGUAUUUUCA